UAUCUCUAAAACAAUGCCUCAGAGAUCAGUAAAUGUAUAGUGCUGUUCAAUAGUGUAGUUGAAACAUUUGCCAGUUGAACAUCUAGUACCUCUCAUAUAUACGUAUGUACCCACUUUAAUUUUUCAUAACAUGUUAUGUAGUGGUCAUUUUUCAAAAUAUCAUGUGGUGCAACUGUCCAACCAUUAGUACCAUUUUGAACACUUGCUUGAAAUUGCUUCUUAAUCUUUUCAUUUUUUUUUGUUAUUUUACCAUAUUAAGCACAAUUUCAAAAGUGCUUUGUAUUACUGACCAACCCUGAAAUCAUUUUGCCUUUCAUAGCUCUUUCAUAAUUCACUAACAAAAGUUCUGUUGUUCAUGUUACAAAAAUACCAUCUGGUACAACCAUGAAGAAAAAGUACAGGGUUCUCUAAAACUUUACUUGAUAGUAGCAUAUAGCAAACGUGUAAUAGCUUCUCCACCUCAUUUAGUUUGAGGCUUUGUCGUUCUUAAUGUUGUCCUGCAACACCAAAAUCUACCACUGCUGCUUUACACCUCCAUCCAUGUAAUGCAUUGAUAUACAAUAUUUGUCUAGGAGAUUUCAGUGCAGGUUUGUUCUGUUUGUUCCAUGGAGUUCUUCUGAUCAUUUAGUGUGAUCCCCCAAUCAUGUGCUGUAACCAGUAAUGGCAGUAACUAAGGGGGGAACAAUUAAGUUCUGUGGCUGAAAUAUUAAUCAUUGGCAUGGUAUGCUUAAGUGGAUACCAGUCUGCUAAAGUGGAUACUGCUUAAGUGGAUACUAGUUUGUAAAGUGUAUUUACCCAGGAGGCAGUGCAAAAUGUCGAACUUUAUUUAGGAAAUUAUUUGGAGAGUACUAUUAUUAUUAUUUGGAGAGUAAAUCAAAGUCGCACCACAUGAUCAUUUUUAAGAACAUGGACAAUUAAAGUUGACAAAAAAGUGCUAAAUUCACAUAACUGCGUGUUUUAUAUAAAUAUAUGUGUACACCACAUUCUAACUGUUUCAAAAUCUUAUUUGUCAGUGACCCUACUGCAGGAGUACAAGGUAUCUGGGUCUCUGUAUGAGUGCAGUGAGAGUUCUGUCCAUACUCAUAAGUUUAAAAGGUUGCUGUCAGACUCUUUAACCAUGUGUCUUGUGUCCACUCCUGCUUGUGGUUUUAAUGGACAGGAUAUCAAUACAUAGCCAAGAUUGGACAGCUGUCCAGUAUGGGGACUUGUGCAGGUUCUGUUGUUCUUUUGGCACCAUCCAAACUGAACCUACAACACACUGCGGCUGUAAUGAAAACCAGAAAUCUUCGAGGCCAAGGCCAUGGUUUUCUCCUAGAUAAUAGUGAGAUGCUCCCUUCAGGUGAGGGGGAAAAACCUUGCCCCUAGUUCACACAUCAUUGACAAACCAAAUCUAGUCUGUAUCAGCAGUGUUACAGUCACUGUACUGGUCUGUAGUGGUGAAGCAGGAGCUCAGUUUUUGCAGACAAUGUUGUCUGUUUACCGAUCAAUCUAUGUCCCUGUCCUCAUCUAUGAUCACAUGCUGUGGGUAGUGACUGAAAUAAUAAGGUCAUGAGUACAGGCUGUAUAAAUGAGGUUCCUCCUGCAGGGAAAAAAGUCCAUCCCAAGCACUGCAAACAUUCCUUUCGCUUCUCGCAACCCCAAGCCUUAACCAGCCUACAUUUUUGAAUUCCAGAUUUAUAACAUAGGACUACUGUAACAUUUGAACAUUUCAUUAUGUCAGUAACAUAAGUGACUAAAAGCUAAAGCAAUAUUCUUUGCACUGACGUACCAGUCUAGUGGAGGGUGAACUUGCCUUUCUUGGCACACCUUUUCAAAAAGUCAGGAGGUGUGUUUGAAAAGGUGUGCCUAUUUCAGCUGUCACAUCCAGCUUCGAAUGACUCAUAAGGAAUAAAACACUGGGCCAUGUUGUUAUAGGAAAAUAAUCCAUGCUGGGGUGGUGUGAUACCGCACAAUAUGAGGCAGAGCAGCCUGGUUUAUACUGGACUCAUGACUUAACCACACUGACAAGCUCUGAUUCUUUUUUAAAUGUUCUGCUGUCAUUGUGAUUGCUGUCAUGAUCUGCAUCUCAAAUGGAAAACUCUGACCUCUGACAUUCAAAUAUAUUUACUAAUAUAGAAAAUCCAGAAGACUGCUACUGGAAAGAGAUCUUUUAGUAGGAUUGAAGGCAACAUGAGAGGUUUUAAAAAUUAAAACACUAAAUGUAAUAGGAAAACCAGUUAGUGUUAGUACUCAAUAGCAGUCUAGAAUAGUGCAAAGUAUACUCUUUGAGACACAACACUAGUUUGUUUAGCGAAGGUAGCUGGAGAGGGAAUGGAGGUACUGACCACUAAACAAUUCACUGCUAGUACAGUGAGAAUUACUUUGGUGCUGAAUUAUCAUCCUACUAAUAAAAGAGUGCCUGAGAUUAUACCUAAAAACUCAACCAGCGUUCGGAAAACCCUGAAAUAGCUUCCCUUUCUGAGGAACCUCCACUCAUCUCCAAACAUCAAAGACAGGAAUGAAUUAAAUUGUCAGGCGAAUAGAACCUGUGGCACUCUUACAUGCAACAGUUCUAGAUGUCCCACGUGUAGUUGUUGUGAGCAUGGGAGCGAUGACUUGAGGAAAUGUAAGGGGAAGGAGCUCAUCUACACACUCAGAACUUUGGAACGGCAUGGAAUGAAUGUCAUGUAUUAACUACAGCUAUUACAUCAUCAAGCGUCCACUGGUUUCCGAUAUACUGAGACAUUUUGGGAAUUCCCAUCCCCAACACAUUAUACAGCGCUAAAAUCCACAAGAUGUUCCUUCACUUUUCGGAUUUUGAGAAUGUCCCAUUUAAGCCGAACCAUGCUGUCUCAAAAUAGAAGACUGAAAAAUGAUAAACCUUGAUUUCUGUUGUGACAUGAGGAUUGUUGGGUCUGAAUGAAAACAUGGACAUGGUCUCCUUGCAGAACCAGUUCAGGUGGGUGGUGGUGGUGGUGUAAUGGUGUACAGAGUGUUUGCUUGGCACAAUUUGGGGCUUUUAUUAAUACCAAUCAAGCAUCAUUUGAAUGCCACAGCCUGUUUGAGAAUUGUUUCUGAACAUGUACAUCUAUUUACACCCACAGUUUACCCAAUCAUGUGAUAGGCACUUCCAGCACGAUAACACUCCGUGACACAAAGCACAAAGUCAUCUCAAACUGGUUGAAUGAACACGACAGUGAGUUCAGUGGUCUCCGCAGAUCUGAAUUCAACUUUGGCAUGUGGCAGAACGAGAGAUUCAUGAGCUUCAUGAAUGUGAAGUUGACAGCAGUUAUGUGAUGCAUUUAUGACUCUCAAAGAACCUUGUGGAUGUAUAUCAUUUCACAAGUGUAAAUGCUUGGGACAGAAGAGAAUAAUAUGUUCUAGAAAUAAAAAAUUUUUUUUAAAAAACUUAGAUGAAUAAAAAAAAUAUAUAAUUUUAAAAAGCUAUGUCUUCCAAAGAAUGCACUGAUAUACACUGCCAUAAAUUCUAAAACCACCCUUAUUGUACAAAUAUUACAGAUCAUUUUUAUAGCAUUUUUUUUUACAUUAAUACAGUAUAAGUUAACUCACACAUACUGUAUUCGUAAAUCACGACAGUCAUUUAUCAGCGGUUAUCACAGGAUCUGUGCUCCAUUGAUAGCGACAACAUUCAAUAAUGUGUGAAGAUGUUUGGAGCUGGAUAUAAAUGUGCUGCUAGGAAACGCAUAAUACUGAUAUCAGAUCACACACUUACACUGCUACAAGUGUUACCUUGGGGUUAGGAUGCAGAUAUCAGGCUAAAAUUACGAAGCACUGAAUUAAAACACCACAAGGCCUGCAAUUAUAUCAUAAUCAAUUAGCAAAUCUAAAGCGCCUCACUAGAAAUUAUUGGGAAUAAGAGUGUUAUGGAGCAGAAGGAAACACACUGUGCUGUCGGUUCAGCAUCAAAACACUAGACACUUGCUUGUUCUUUCAGAAGUGGAAUGAACUUGAAUACAGUCGGGUGGCAACGACAGCUGCACUUCAAGAGUCCCCCUAGAGUGUCCCCCGCUCACUGACGGAGAACACGUCAUGGAACAUUCCCGGAACGAGCCAGCGUCCCACCCACCUUAACCCAGGCACGCACACACAUACAUACACACACCUGACAGACAAUCUAUGUACACAGUGAAUUUCACAACACCUUUAUAAGUAACAAUUAAUGUAUUAACUACUACUACUAAUAAAAUGAUCCCUGCCCGAACGCACGCGCUAUGCAGUGAAGCCGCUCCCGGUCCCUGUGCAAAUUCCUCGGGAUAUUACGCAGCAUUCCCGCUUUCCGCGCGCAGGAAAGUGGGUAUUCCCCCAAAAGCCGGAUUAUUCCAAUAAGCACAAAGCGCACGCACUGGUACAGAACCGCGCAGGGAAGAAGCAGCUCGAGCUCAGGAGUGUAAAGAGUUCGUGCUCUUACCGAUCUGUGAUCACGAUUGUCUUUACGGAGCAGCGUCCCAGAACAUCCCGAACACACCGAGGAAUGUCAGUCCGCCUCGCCUCGCCUCGCAAUCAGCCGUUCCUUGGCCGGGUGUAACAGGAUGUGUGGAGUUUCACCGUGUCUUCAUGAUGGGGAACGCGAAUGGAAAGUCGGACAGGCAAGGGCAUCACCAAAGGGAUCACACUGCUAGGUAAAUCAAUGUAAGCAUGGGAACUGGGCUUGGAGACAAUUUUACAGUCGACUGCGCUGUCCCUUCACAGUGCACAAGAAGGAAAUCUGCUUUUUUUUUGACCCUCAGGCCGUGUUUCAGCAGUGUCUAUUAACACAUAAUGCAGAAU
ensembl:lncRNA